UAAGGAAUAUUGGUCAAUGGACGCAAGUCUGAACCAGCCAUGCCGCGUGAAGGAUGAAGGUCCUCUGGAUUGUAAACUUCUUUUAUCUGGGACGAAAACGGGAUUUUUAUCUCAAUUGACGGUACCAGAGGAAUAAGCACCGGCUAACUCCGUGCCAGCAGCCGCGGUAAUACGGAGGGUGCGAGCGUUAUCCGGAUUUACUGGGUUUAAAGGGUGCGUAGGUGGGCUUAUAAGUCAGUGGUGAAAUCUCCGAGCUUAACUUGGAAACUGCCGUUGAUACUAUAGGUCUUGAAUUAUCUGGAGGUAAGCGGAAUAUGUCAUGUAGCGGUGAAAUGCUUAGAUAUGACAUAGAACACCAAUUGCGAAGGCAGCUUACUACAUAUAAAUUGACGCUGAGGCACGAAAGCGUGGGGAUCAAGCA
rnacentral:rRNA from 1 species